UUUAAAUGUAAAAUAAAUUUACUAAAGUAGUAUUAGUUAUGUUCUUGAAAUUUAAAGAUUUUGGCGGUAUUUUAGUCUAUUUAGAGGAGCCUGUUCUAUGAUUGAUAUUCCACGAUUUAUUUUACUUAAUUUAUAUAAAUUUGUAUACCGUCGUUAUAAGAGAAUUUUAAAAGAAUAUAAAUUUUUAAUAUUUUAUAUAAAAAAAUAUAUCAGAUCAAGGUGCAGUUUAUAGUUAAGAAGAAAUGGGCUACAAUAAAUAUAUUUAUUAUACGGAUUAAAGUAAGAAUAUGACUUUAUGAAGGUGGAUUUAAUAGUAAUAAAAUUUAUUUAAAUUUUAUGAUUUUAGCUCUAAAAUAUGU
rnacentral:rRNA from 1 species